rnacentral:rRNA from 1 species
UACGUAGGGUGCAAGCGUUAAUCGGAAUUACUGGGCGUAAAGCGUGCGCAGGCGGUUUUGUAAGUCUGUCGUGAAAUCCCCGGGCUCAACCUGGGAAUGGCGAUGGAGACUGCAAGGCUAGAAUCUGGCAGAGGGGGGUAGAAUUCCACGUGUAGCAGUGAAAUGCGUAGAGAUGUGGAGGAACACCGAUGGCGAAGGCAGCCCCCUGGGUCAAGAUUGACGCUCAUG